rnacentral:rRNA from 1 species
UUCCAUUAGAAAAAACUGGAUAUAAAAAUAAAAAUUCUUAUGUUAAUCAAAAAAGACUUCCGGAGACAAAAUCGAUCAACUCGGCGACUUAUUCAAAGAGAGGGCUUUUGCACGCA